rnacentral:rRNA from 1 species
GACGAACGCUGGCGGCGUGCUUAACACAUGCAAGUCGAGCGACGCUCUUCCUUCGGGGAGCUGACGGAGCGGCGAACGGGUGAGUAACACGUGGGCAACCUGCCCCUAGCUCUGGGACAACACCGGGAAACCGGUGCUAAUACCGGAUACGACAUCGAGCGGCAUCUCUCGAUGUGGAAAGUUUUUUCGGCUAGGGAUGGGCCCGCGGCCUAUCAGCUUGUUGGUGGGGUAAUGGCCCACCAAGGCGACGACGGGUAGCCGGCCUGAGUGGGCGACCGGCCACACUGGGACUGAGACACGGCCCAGACUCCUACGGGAGACAGCAGUGGGGAAUAUUGCGCAAUGGGCGAAAGCCUGACGCAGCGACGCCGCGUGAGGGAUGACGGCCUUCGGGUUGUAAACCUCUUUCAGCAGGGACGAAUUCAGACGGUACCUGCAGAAGAAGCACCGGCCAACUACGUG